CAUGGUCCUCGCCCUCAACGGCAGCCACCUCUACGGUAACCUCCGGCCCCUGGUCCUGGAGGACCCGCGGGCGCUGAGCGGCGGCGGGAGGAUGAUCGCCGGCUCCUGGCCCCCCCGCAGCCUGGGCAAGCUCGGCCCGUCGCCCCCCCCGUCGGCGCUGCCCACGCCGAGCCCCCUCCCCGCCAACGACUCCGGGUGCGGGGAGCAGAUCCUCAGCUACGGCAACGUGGAGAAAGUUGUCAUCGGGGCCGUCCUCUCCCUCAUCACCCUCCUGACCGUCGCCGGCAACUGCCUGGUGGUCAUCUCCGUCUGCUUCGUGAAGAAGCUGCGGCAGCCCUCCAACUAUCUCAUCGUCUCGCUGGCCCUGGCCGACCUCUCGGUGGCCCUGGCCGUCAUGCCCUUCGUCAGCGUCACCGACCUCAUCGGCGGCGAGUGGAUCUUCGGCCGCCUCUUCUGCAACGUCUUCAUCGCCAUGGACGUCAUGUGCUGCACGGCCUCCAUCAUGACUCUCUGCCUCAUCAGUAUCGACAGGUACCUGGGAAUAACGAGGCCUCUCACGUACCCCGUGAGGCAGAAUGGGAAGUGUAUGGCCAAAAUGAUCCUCUGCGUGUGGCUUUUGUCUGCCUCCAUCACCCUCCCCCCGCUCUUCGGUUGGGCCCAAAACGUCAACGAUGAAAAGGUCUGUUUGAUCAGCCAAGACUUUGGCUACACCAUUUACUCCACGGCGGUUGCGUUCUACAUCCCGAUGUCGGUGAUGCUCUUCAUGUACUACCAGAUUUACAAAGCUGCCAAGAGGAGUGCUGCUAAACACAAGUUUGCUGGUUUUCCCCGGCCAGAAGAAAUGGAAGGGAUUUCUAUGAACGGAGUCAUAAAACUGCAUAAAGAAGCCGAAGAAUGUGCUAAUUUUUCCCGGCUCCUAAAGCACGACAAGAAGAACAUUUCCAUCUUUAAAAGAGAACAGAAAGCUGCCACUACCCUUGGGAUUAUUGUUGGGGCUUUCACUGUCUGCUGGCUGCCCUUCUUCCUCCUCUCCACCGCCCGGCCCUUCAUCUGCGGGACGGCCUGCAGCUGUAUCCCUCUCUGGGUUGAGAGAACAUUCCUGUGGUUGGGCUAUGCAAACUCCCUCAUCAACCCUUUUAUAUACGCCUUCUUCAACCGAGACCUAAGGACAACCUAUCGCAACCUCCUGCAGUGCCGAUACAGGAACAUCAACCGGAAACUCUCCGCUGCAGGGAUGCACGAGGCCCUGAAGCUUGCAGAAAAGCCAGAAUUUGUUCUGUAAGGUCACUCAGUCCUUUAAUAUGAUAAUUUAUUCUUUUAUGGCAUUGGCUUUUCCCCCCACAGAUUUGAAAGAGGAGUUGUGGGAAGAACCAGGCUCCUGGAGCACUGUUAGUGCAGUCACCAAGAAACUGGAAGGGAGCGAGGUUAAUUCCCGUACAGCCCACCAGCCCCAGGGAGCCUGGAGAAACAAGGUGACCAUCUCCAGAAGGUGGAUGAGAAGUUCUGAUUUCUCCAGGGAAAAAGAGUCAUGACCAAACGGGCAUCAAAGCAGCCAGAAAAAGCUGAGCCAGAACUGGAAGAAGAAAAAUGAGGAAUUGGCUCCUGAAGAACUGGAUAGAUUUAUGAAAUGUAUUUCAUCUUCUUUUGAUGGGAAUGUGCUAAAAAUACUCAAUGAGCUCAAUACGUUGCAUUAAAUACAUUUCCAUCGGAAGGAGCUUGUUUGUUACGGAGAGACGUGCUGCUAUAUACAAAUGGAAAUAGUUUUCUGCCUGAGGAAGCCAAAUCAUUUCAGCAAUAAGAGUUUGGCAUGCAGGGUGAGGAAAAAAAAUUUAAAAAGCAACUAAAACUCAAAGAUAAAGCACUGUCCAGAUUCCCACCACGUCAAAGGAUGUGGAAGAGUGUCCAUUUCCAUUUCAAACCUGUGCAUCCCAACAUUGGCAUUAACGUUCAGGGACUGUCAGUGACACCGAAUGUACUUUGUUGGACUAGAAAAAGAGUUUUUCAGGCAAAUGGUGGCUCUGUGGGUGCUUGUGUUAGAGGGGUGCUACACACCCGGAGUGGGGUGGAGAAAGGCAACAAUACAAGACCCAUUUUUGUAAAAGUCUUAUUUUGUACUAAGUAAACGGCUGGUUACCUGUUAAACACACGCGGGGUUUGCUCUCCCUAAAACCGCUCAAAAAAAGCUGCUGCCUUCAGUUACACUGACAAAAGUUAAGGGACAGAAUUAGAACGCACACACGUUACACCACAGUUAAUUUACAAAUACAAUCACAUUGUUUUAAUGUAGUUGUCAUGAUCUGCAAGUUUGUAAAAAACAAUUUUAUCUCAUUUUGAUUCAAAUAACUAUAAAAGGCUGGAGAAUUUCCACAGCACUUUGCUUUUUGUCUGACUGGCUGGCCAGACUACACUGAGAAUUAUAACUUUUUUUUUUUUUAAUUUAUAGGUUUUUUUAAAUGUGUUUAAGAGGUAUUAUUUCUACCAAUGUUUGAUUAUAAUUAAAACAAACCCCUUUGACUUGACAAAAAUUAAAUUGGCAAGUGUUGAUGACCAUUUGUCCCAGGGAAAAUUGUUUCAAGGCAUUACUCCUUAAAUACACCUUUGAACAUUUUUAAUUUUUUUUUUUUAGCUUCUUAUAUUAAUUUUCCCUAUGAGCGUCUAAACUCUGUGUGGUUUCACAAUGCAGUGGGAUAGACCAUUCCUAAAGGCUGUCUUCUUUAAAGGUGCAUCUCGGUGAGCACUUGCCUUGUUUCCAUAGCUGUAUGAUUUGUGAUAACCCAGUCUCCUACUUGAGGUUUAACCACAUUUCUGCUGGUAGGUCAGCCCCUGCCCAGGCUGUUACAGCUCUGAUUUCCUGGAGUUACACGAGAAGGCACCAGAAUUGCACGUUUUCAUCGUACGAGGUCAGCAAGAGUCUUUCCAGUUCUUCCCUGAUAAAACUAAUCUCUGUGAACUCUGCAUUUGAAACAAAACGAGCCCUAUAAUUCUCUUUAUUUCCCAAAGGGAGUGACACAGCCACGCUUGUUACUUGGUUAGACUUCAGAGUGAAAUGGGGCAGUGACCAACGGACCAGCUCUGAUUGAAUUACACGAGAAUAGGGUCAGAAAAACUUGGCUGAAGUCAAAAUUACACUGGCAAAUAAUAUUAUAAAUGGACCUAGUGAGAAAGGGAGACGAUUAAUAUAACAGUAAAACCUCAGUCUGUUUCUUCAUUUUAAAAAGCCCCAAACCUUAAAAUAAAGGGCAGUGGUCAUACUCUGAAACCCAUUUCUAAGCUGUAUGGUCUCACUCGCACGUCCAUUUCACAAAGGCAACGAAACAAUUUCCCUUAGGUGAAUUAGACUGCCACUUUUCUUGUUCAUCAUGCUGUGUCCAAACCUUAACUUCAGGAGAAAUGAAAAAAUUAUACAUCAUAUGAAUAAUUUAAGUGAUUAAAAAAGUCACAAGUGAAAAAACCCUACCAGUGAUAACUCUCUGUCAAAAUUCACGUGGUUUUUUGAUGCUGUUAUUUCAAGGUUAAGUGAAAAUUUAUGUUUUAGGAGAAAUAUUAUGGAGGGCAAAGGAGUUAAGAAAGAGCUGUUAGGGAUCUACAAUUCUAGACAGACAUAUGUACACAUGUAUGUAACACACCCCCCAUCCCUCAUACCUCAGAACGGUGCUGCCUCAUGAAAAGAAGAUGACGAGUAUAUUAUUACCAAAUAAACAUUUUCUUUCUUUUAAUACGUAUUAAAUUCCCAGAAUCUUGCGGAAAUUAUGAGAACGUUUUAGAAUAAGUUGCAGCAGCCUUUUCCUAGCUACCCCCUCAAUUCUAGUUGAAAGUUCUCACUAAAUUAGCUAGUUUUAUUCCUAUGACAAAGUGAUAAAUUUGCUUCAGACCUGAGCAAAAAAUAAACACAAUGAUCAAAGAAGAAAAUUUUUCUUAUCACAAAUGCACUGCUGAAAAAGUUAUGUGAGAGCAAGAAAAAAAAUAUCUACGUAUAACGUGAAAAGUCACAUAUUCUUGACAAUUUUAAUAGAUAAAAAUGAGUUUUAUGUAUUAUUUCAGUCACCCGGGACUCUUAAUAUGCAAAAGCCACCAGAGGAUUGAGUUUGAGCUCUCUAUAUUUUAAGUCAUGUAUUUUUCUCCAAGACCUACUAAAAUAUAAAGAUGGUUAUCAUCAGAGACUGUUUCACACAAAUAGUUUACCAAGAAAUACAAAUACAAGGAAAUUAAGCUCUUCAAACUUUAAGUGGCCUAUGCUGGAAGUGUUGAACGUCUGUGGUUGCAAUAUGAGUCAUCUGGGGGAGAAAAAUAAAAAAGAAUUGCAGCCACUUGCAUCGCACCCGAUUCAAAUUCAUCCAGCAGACUAAUUUAGUGGAAAAGGAAACAGGGUUCUUCUGUAUUAGGCACUGAGUUAUGUUAUGCUUUUAAAAUGUAUAAGCCCAGAGGGAUAUUAAAAUGUUAAUUUGGAUAGUAUUUAAAAGGUAAUUACUUUUAUACAAUAAAAUAAGAAGUCUACUGAAUACUAA